CAGCAGCCACGGUAAUACGGAGGAUCCAAGCGUUAUCCGGAAUCAUUGGGUUUAAAGGGUCCGUAGGCGGUCUUGUAAGUCAGUGGUGAAAGCCCAUCGCUCAACGGUGGAACGGCCAUUGAUACUGCAGGACUUGAAUUAUUGGGAAGUAACUAGAAUAUGUAGUGUAGCGGUGAAAUGCUUAGAGAUUACAUGGAAUACCAAUUGCGAAGGCAGGUUACUACCAAUUGAUUGACGCUGAUGGACGAAAGCGUGGGUAGCGAACAGGAUUAGAUACCCGAGUAGUCCCUGUCUCUUAACA
rnacentral:rRNA from 1 species